CUUGUGAGCAUGUGUGAAGAGGCCCUCAUCCACUGCAAGAAGGGUUCCCGGGGAUAAGCGCGCCCUCGCCCACCGCUGUAACCAUUCUAGAAAUGACUCACCAAGCUCUCAAGCCUCAGAGCACCACCAAGCAGACAGCUGCUAGCUUCCUGCGUCAACAGGACAAAGGACUACUGUGGUCCCAGAGGUAACUGACUCUGGUGGGAAGGAACUGUACUGGACUCUGCCGAGGGGACCUCUGGAUGAAUGAGGAACUGGGGUACUAUGCUGACAGACUCCCACCUCCCGCUGCUGCGCUCACCUACCUUGGAGAUCCCUGAAAUUAUGAUGGUGCUUUUCUUCCGUGGGGACUUCAGUUUCAGCUUUGAGGACUCGCUGAGCUGCCGAAUGGCAACUUCAGCCACAGGAUCUGAGCCGUUCAGUACCAACAGUUCUGCCAGAAAGAAGGCAGCACUGAGUUCAGUAGCAAACUUAACAAGCUCCAAGCGAAGCCCCAGGACAGGGGGCAGCAUAGUCUACAGGCAGUGGUCGGCAAGCAUUUGGAAGAAGGAGGGAGAAAGUAAGGGAUUGGGAUUUUUUCCCAACUUAUCUCCCCAUAAAGUAGAAGCAGACAGGAGCCACAUGUAAAUGAACAGGCAAGGCCUGGUUCUGGUAAAACUUUAUUUUCGGAAACAAA